UUGGGCCUUGCCAGACCAGCUUUAAUCUAAAACGAAUUAUCAAGGGGGUCCCCAUAACAACCCCGAUCGUGUUAGGAGCGCUCAUUUAUGGAACAUAACACCGGUAGCCGAAACUAAGGGGGCAAAGGUGGAACAAAACACCAGGCUAGGAAGGCCGAGCCUUCCACCUUUUACCAAGUAUAUAGGUCCAUUAAAUUAAAUAGCAUUAAUAUGGUGAUAUAACACGGAACCCAUGUUUCACAUGGAAGCAACUGCACCUGCAACUAGCAACG
rnacentral:lncRNA from 1 species